AACAUUCUGAAAGAAUGCUAAUACCGCAUGACAUAUCGGAACCACAUGGUUUUGAUAUCAAGAUUUUAUCGCUUGAGAUGGACUCGCGUCCGAUUAGUUAGUUGGUGAGGUAACGGCUCACCAAGACCGCGAUCGGUAGCCGGACUGAGAGGUUGAACGGCCACAUUGGGACUGAGACACGGCCCAGACUCCUACGGGAGGCAGCAUG
rnacentral:rRNA from 1 species